rnacentral:rRNA from 1 species
AUUGAACGCUGGCGGCAGGCCUAACACAUGCAAGUCGAGCGGAUGAAGGGAGCUUGCUCCUGGAUUCAGCGGCGGACGGGUGAGUAAUGCCUAGGAAUCUGCCUGGUAGUGGGGGAUAACGUCCGGAAACGGGCGCUAAUACCGCAUACGUCCUGAGGGAGAAAGUGGGGGAUCUUCGGACCUCACGCUAUCAGAUGAGCCUAGGUCGGAUUAGCUAGUUGGUGGGGUAAAGGCCUACCAAGGCGACGAUCCGUAACUGGUCUGAGAGGAUGAUCAGUCACACUGGAACGGAGACACGGUCCAGACUCCUACGGGAGGGAGCAGUGGGGAAUAUUGGACAAUGGGCGAAAGCCUGAUCCAGCCAUGCCGCGUGUGUGAAGAAGGUCUUCGGAUUGUAAAGCACUUUAAGUUGGAAGGAAGGGCAGUAAGUUAAUACCUUGCUGUUUUGACGUUACCAACAGAAUAAGCACCGGCUAACUUCAUG